UCGGAUGUGGUGUAUGGUGCACACCCAUUCUGCAUUAAGGAUGGAUACAGGAUACAAAUUGCAACUGGGAAGCCUGGGUUCGACUCCCAGCAUCCGAA